UGACCUCAAAUCAGGUAGGACUACCCGCUGAAUCAUAGCAUAUCAAUA
rnacentral:rRNA from 1 species